rnacentral:rRNA from 1 species
UACAGGGGGGGCAAGCGUUAUUCGGAAUUAUUGGGCGUAAAGGGCGCGUAGGCGGCUUUUCAAGUGACGGGUGAAAUCCCUCGGCUUAACCGAGGAACUGCCUGUCAGACUGGAAGGCUUGAGACCGGGAGAGGUGAGUGGAAUUCCCAGUGUAGCGGUGAAAUGCGUAGAUAUUGGGAGGAACACCAGUGGCGAAGGCGGCUCACUGGACCGGAACUGACGCUGAGGCGCGAAAGCGUGGGGAGCGAACAGG